UACAGAGGUCCCAAGCGUUGUUCGGAUUCAUUGGGCGUAAAGGGUGCGUAGGCGGCGCGGGAAGUCGGGUGUGAAAUCUCGGAGCUUAACUCCGAAACUGCACUGGAUACUGCUCUGCUAGAGGACUGGAGAGGAGACUGGAAUUCACGGUGUAGCAGUGAAAUGCGUAGAUAUCGUGAGGAAGACCAGUGGCGAAGGCGGGUCUCUGGACAGUUCCUGACGCUGAGGCGCGAAGGCCAGGGGAGCAAACGGG
rnacentral:rRNA from 1 species